CUGACGCUAAAGCACGAAAGUGUGGGGAGCAAACAGGAUUAGAUACCCUGGUAGUCCACACCCUAAACGAUGAAUACUAGAUGUUGGUCUUUUUUAAGAUCAGUAUCCAAGCUAACGCAUUAAGUAUUCCACCUGGGAAGUACAAUCGCAAGGUUGAAACUCAAAGGAAUUGACGGGGGCCCGCACAAGCAGUGGAGCAUGUGGUUUAAUUCGACGCAACGCGAAGAACCUUACCUAGGCUUGAAACGCAAGCUAAUCCCGAUGAAAGUCGGAGUACCGCAAGGUGAGCUUGUACAGGUGCUGCAUAGCUGUCGUCAGCUCGUGCCGUGAGGUGUUGGGUUAAGUCCCGCAACGAGCGCAACCCUCGUUCUUAGUUGCCAUCAGAUAAUGCUGAGCACUCUAAGAAGACUGCCUACGCAAGUAGUGAGGAAGGUGGGGAUGAUGUCAAGUCCGCAUGGCCCUUACGCCUAGGGCCACACACGUGCUACAAUGGCCAUUACAAAGGGCUGCAAUACCGCGAGGUGGAGCUAAUCCCUAAAAAAUGGUCUCAGUUCGGAUUGGAGUCUGCAACUCGACUCCAUGAAGCUGGAAUUGCUAGUAAUCGCGCAUCAGCACGGCGCGGUGAAUACGUUCCCGGGCCUUGUACACACCGCCCGUCAAGCCAUGGAAGUUGGGGGUACCCAAAGUCGCC
rnacentral:rRNA from 1 species